rnacentral:sRNA from 1 species
GAGUGCAGUGAUGUUUACAACUCACUGAUCACAACCGGUUACAGGUUUCUUUGUGUCUUCUCCAUUCCCACUGCUUCACUU